rnacentral:rRNA from 1 species
UCGUCAGCUCGUGUCGUGAGAUGUUGGGUUAAGUCCCGCAACGAGCGCAACCCUCGUCACAUGUUGCCAGCGGUUCGGCCGGGCACCCAUGCGAGACCGCCGGCGUCAAGCCGGAGGAAGGUGGGGACGACGUCAAGUCAUCAUGCCCCUUAUGUCCUGGGCUGCACACGUGCUACAAUGACCGGCACAAUGGGCUGCCACUGCGCGAGCAGGAGCGAAUCCCCAAAGCCGGCCCCAGUUCGGAUUGGAGGCUGCAACCCGCCUCCAUGAAGUCGGAGUUGCUAGUAAUCGCGGAUCAGCACGCCGCGGUGAAUGCGUUCCCGGGCCUUGUACACACCGCCCGUCACACCACCCGAGUCGUCUGCACCCGAAGUCGUCGGCCCAACCCGCAAGGGAGGGAGGCGCCGAAGGUGUGGAGGGUAAGGGGGGUGAAGUCGUAACAAGGUAGCCGUA